CUUUGACCAAAAUACUAUUACCUGACAUGUGAUUAUACUGUGAGUUCAGACAUGGGAAAGAGUGAUGUGAGUAUUUUUCAUUAAACAGAAAGAGGAACUGGAUCACAAAUGGUAGAUAGAAUUUGGUUAGAUGGGGAAGAAAACAUUUCAACAGAAAGAAAUAACAUCUGUAAAAUAUUGUAAACAUUAAGCAAUAAUCAGGGAAAGGAGGACAAUCUGUCAAUUGCAAGGGAAUUGUGCAAAUAAUAUAACAGAAAAUUAUAUAAGAAAUUUAAAUUGUGCUGGAUUGGAAAAAUGUGGCACAUAUACACCAUGGAAUAUUAUGCAGCAAUCAGAAAUGAUGAGUUCGUGUCGUUUGUAGGGACAUGGAUGAAUCUGGAAAACAUCAUCCUCAGCAAACUGACACAAGAACAGAAAAUGAAACACCGCAUAUUCUCACUCAUAGUAAGCUAAUGAAGAUGUGAAGGAUAAUUUAUUGAAGUUCCUUCAGGAGCAUUCUAUGAUAAAAGUACUACACAAUGGAAAAUUCCAGUCAUGGCAGAAGAUGAUGGCAAAACAAGAACCUUCUUCACAUUGCAGCAGGAGAAAGAGUCUGUGUGAAGUGCAAGCAGGAAAAAUUCCAGAUGUUUACAAAACCAUGAAAUCUCAUGAGAACUCACCCACUAUCAUGAGAUAAGCACAGGGGAAGCCUUCUUCAGGAUCCAAGUACCUGAUUCCUUUGAAAGGUAGGGAUUACAACUUGAGAUGAUAUUUGGGUGGAGACACAGAGCCAAACAAUAUGAAAUCUUUCUCUUAGAUGCACAUUACUAAGAGAAAAAAUCCAAUCUGAAAAGGCUGCAUACUGUAUAAUUCAAACUAUACAACAUUUUGGAAAAGGCGAAACUAUGGAGACAAUAGAGAUGUCAGUGGUUGCCAGGGGUUGGGAAGAGGGAAGGACAAAUAGGUGAAGUACAGAGGAUUUUUAACAGUGAAAUUAUAACUAAACUAUGAUAGUAUAGUGCUAUACACGUGUCAUUUUACAUUUGGUAAAGCUCACAGAAUGUAUAACAACAAGAGUAAAAUUUGAUAUAAACUAUUGACUUUAGUGGAUAAUCAUGUACCAAUCAUGUAGGUUCCUUGACUGUAAUAACUACACUACUGCAGCGCAGGAUGUUGAUUGUGGGGAAGCUUGUGGGGGUGUGGGAAUAGUGGAUAUGUGGGAACUCUAAUUUCCACUCAAUUUUGCUGUGAAUCUAAAACUGCUUUCUAAAGUUUAUUAGUUAAAAAUAUAUAUUCCAUGCCAGGAUAUAGCACCUGGUAUUUUUGUUUUCUUAAAACUGUUCAAUGUUGGAGACAGCCUUCAGGUUUCGUGUAAACAUUGAAAUAUAGCCAACAAUUGCAAUAAUUAUCCAACUUUCUACUACCUUAGAUUACAAUACACAUACCCCUUAAUAAAUGGUAACUAAACAGUAUUAGUUCUGCUGGU
rnacentral:lncRNA from 13 species